rnacentral:rRNA from 1 species
AUAGCGUAUAUUAAAGUUGUUGUAGUUAAAAAGCUCGUAGUUGAACUUCAGACCUGGCUGGGCGGUCAGCUUAUCGGCUUGUACUGUCUGGCUGGGCCUUACUUCUUGGGGAGCUGGUGUGCCCUUUAUUGGGUGCGUUGGUGAACCAGGACCUUUACCUUGAGAAAAUUAGAGUGUUCAAAGCAGGCCUAUGCCCGAAUACAUUAGCAUGGAAUAAUAAAAUAGGACGUGCGGUUCUAUUUUGUUGGUUUCUAGAGUCGCCGUAAUGAUUAAUAGGGAUAGUUGGGGGCAUUGGUAUUGAGUCGCUAGAGGUGAAAUUCUUGGAUUUAUUAAAGACGAACUUAUG